AGCGCUGUCUCCUGGCCUGGCAGCGCUAACUGUGGGCUGUGACUCAGGGAAUCUGGGCUCCUUAUCCCGGGUCCAGCUGCUCCUUCUGGACCGACUGGAGCCUGAGGCACCGCCGAGUCCCUUCGGUCAGGAAGAAGAGCUGUUGCUGCUGCAGGACUGGUCAGAUCUGAGGAUGCAGUAUGAUCCAGGUGUUUUGAGGCCCCUCACAGCUGGCAGCAUCUCUGAAAGGUGUGACUCUCCGGGGAAAGUCCAUGAAAACAAAUCGGAUCAGUCCGAAGGAGGUUCAGGGUCACCGUCUUCAUGGAUCAUAGACCAGAGUCCAUCAUACGACAUGUUCAGAUCUGCCUAUUCCCCCUGCAAGUC